CCCCCGCGCCACAAGUGGCAAUCGGCAUUAUUGGGUCUAAAGCGUCCGUAGUCGGCUGUAUAAAUCUCUCGUGAAAUCGUCUCGCUCAACGGGACGGCGUGCGAGAGACACUGCACGGCUCGGGACCAGAAGGAGCAAGAGGUAUUCCCGGGGUAGCGGUAAAAUGCGAUAAUCCUGGGAGGACCACCGAUGGCGAAGGCAUCUUGCUAGGAUGGGUCCGACGAUGAGGGACGAAAGCCAGGGGAGCAAAACG
rnacentral:rRNA from 1 species